ACAGCAGCCGCCGCGGUAAUACGAAGGGGGCUAGCGUUACUCGGAAUUACUGGGCGUAAAGGGCGCGUAGGCGGCACGAUUAGUCAGGCGUGAAAUUCCUGGGCUCAACCUGGGGACUGCGCUUGAUACGGUCGAGCUAGAGGAUGGAAGAGGGUUGUGGAAUUCCCAGUGUAGAGGUGAAAUUCGUAGAUAUUGGGAAGAACACCGGUGGCGAAGGCGGCAACCUGGUCCAUUACUGACGCUGAGGCGCGACAGCGUGGGGAGCAAACAGGAUUAGAUACCCGUGUAGUCCCUGUCUCUUAUAC
rnacentral:rRNA from 1 species